rnacentral:lncRNA from 1 species
UUUGUGGUUACAUGGCGUGUUAUUGCCCUGCUGGUGCGAUCGGAAAGGCGACGAUUUUUGAUUACAGGUCCUGCUAUCGACCAGCUGCUGCGAUCGGAAAGGUGUUUUUUGUGUAUUUAUGCGAUUCUUAUAGUUCGUGUAUUGAAGAGCCGUUGUAAUUUUUGUUGUGUGUAUGAUAUCAUAGAUCUAGCCAUAUCUUCGGAUCUGAAGAUGAGCUAGCCCUCUAGUCAAAGAUCAGGUAUGUCGAGGCGUUCUCUGCCGCUGGAGCCAAGUAUGAUGCGUAGUGACGGGAGCUGGAUAUCGUCGAUUGUGGGUGUAUAAGAUAUGAGGGGGAUGAUGGCGCUGUGUUCGGUGGCCUGGUGUCCUUGUUAGUAUCUUUGUCAUCCGACCUUUGCCAUAUAGGGUGCGCUCGUAUGGCAGGUCACCAAUGAAUAAAAAAACAACCGUUUGUGUUUCAGAGGGAAGAUCGCACGGGGGAUUUGCCCGGGUUCUUUCCUCUGCUGUGUCUCGUGUUCCUUCUCUUCAUUACGCCUAUGCUCCAAACCCAAUCGAUUGGAGGAUGAUACUUCCUCCUACCCAGCUCUAAUUGCCAGGCUUUCAAGGCGCAUGACAAUAAAGGUAACAUCUCAUCCGUUUUAAUACUUCUGUUGGAGACUCUGAGGGACCAGCCAUCUUCCAUUCUGCCAGGUAACCUCGUUAUUUGUCAACUUUGCGCUAUCAGUAUCCAUAUUCCCGAUUCUGUCGUGUAUUUCUCAACCCAAUUACUUCAAAAUGAACACCAAGAAUGUCUUUUCCCUCGGCUGUUAUGACUAACCUGUCGAUCAAGAGCAUCAUAUCCAUAUAUGAAAUCUACCUUUUCUAUUGCGUCUAAUAAGGGCUAAAUGUUCGUAUAUUAUAUUGAACAUUGGAUUAUUUAAUUUCCUUCUGUAUUAUAUAUUGUAUACUUUUUGUAGUUGGUUCGUAGUGUGUAUAUGGUUAGUAGCUUGAUCUCACUUUCUUUGUUUCCAGUCUAUCAGCUCAGUUGCUAGUUAUUAUUGGGGUGAUUUGUUCGUGUUUUUGUGUUGGUACUAAUAUGUCCGGUUCUGUAAUGUUCAUAAUUGUACCUGUGGAAUGAUAUGCAUGGCUUGUGGCGUUUGCUGUAAUGUCGUCGUGUAUUCUGCUUACAAGUUCAGAUUGUUUGCUGUAAUAUUGCGAGUGUAUUCUGCAUCCAAGUUCAGAGAUUGGCGUUGAUGCGCUGGACGACUGUGAUCUUCAAGCUCGGUUAUCUCAUGACAUGGACCAGAGGGAGAUUCUACAAUUUAUUAUUUCUGAUCGUAGUGUUCGGUUUUUGUUUGAAUUAUGAAGCACAGUUGUUUAUUUACGAUUACUCGUGUUUGUGCAUAUACGUUGUGACUGUUUAAAAGCUCCGAUAAUGUGUUUUUUUUUUCUAAAUGGUCAAAUGAUUUCAUGUAUUCGAUCACUGUUUGGAGUGCUUGUUAACUAUGCUAAUGUAAUAGUUAAAUUUUAUUUUUGUUAAAGGGAUAUCUUCGCAAACUAUCAGUUUUUGUGUGGAAUGCUUAUAUUCCUUUGAUUAACAGGUCCUUUCUGUUACUGUAGCACUAUUGCCUUUCCUGAACAUUAAGUUGCAAGACGUUGACGGUGGAACCUUAGUUUAAUUAUUCGAAACAAUGCCGAUAUAGACUUGUAAGCUCAAAAUGGUAGAGCGCUCCAUUCCUUUUUGGUGAUGUGAGAGGUUAGUGGUUCGAAUCCACUCAAGUCUUACUUUUUUUAAUCUCGUGAAUUCUACUCCGUGUCUUUUAACUUGUAACUUAGUUUAUUUUUAGCUUUCAAAAAUGUUUGUUUUUUUUGCAAUUCAAUUGUUUAAUUACAUCCAGCGUUUAUCUGGAAAUUAGAGUGGAAAAAUACGAUUCUUGUUUUUUCGGUGGCUGCUUUUUUCACACUUCAUUGCAACUUCAAUUUACUCUUACCGGAUAGAGUCAGUUUGUUAACUGUGUUUUUUGUUCUGUUCAGUAACUCAUAAUCGAUCCAGAAUUUUUUGGAGACUUUCACCAUUGAAGUGGACGACAUAACGGACCGAAUAUGACGCGGUUGGGCUAUUGGAUAUAAAUUUUUUAUAUCAAGGAGCUCCGUGUAGGAUGCGGCAUAAAUAACACAUAGGGAUGAUGACGAGCUGGGGGUUGAAGGGGGGAGGUAAAUAGGGACUAGAGAAAUAUAGUUGAGAGAUUGAUUGAAAGUUAUCUGCCCGUUUGGGUAAUUAUUAUCAUAAAAGCGGGACCGAUUAUACAACUCAGAUGAUUAUGAUUGAAGGGAUAACCGGGUUGUCGAUGAGCAUCACUAUUGAUGUUAGACCUUGAGACUUAUUGGGGACAUCACCAAGAAUUCCGGGUACUGAGAUUUAAAAUGCCGACUGGUAAUUAAAAACAUGGGGCUAUUAGAUAUUAUACAUGAGAAGGGUGGGUGUUUAUUGGGCAGGUGAUCGGAAUGAAUGAAGAGAAAGUAACCCAACUACUUAUAUCUACAUUCAGAGAAUAGGGUUAUGUGAUGAGGUUUGGAUUGAAAUGAACAACAGCUUUGUAGUCGAGGUAAACAAAUUCAAUACUUGUUAUUUUAUAUUGAAAUGGAAUUCCGGAAAUGAACCGGCUUCCCAAAAACAAGCUAAGCCGACAUGUAGGGCAUAAUUCAACAUCAAGAUCAACUACGUAAGACAUAAAGCUAGCAAAAUUUGGUCUUCUCAAAUCUCAUUGAACAGCUCUUGUUGAUCUUCGGGAUCUUCACAGUAACUCGGGGUCCGAUUGGGUCAUCACAUUUAUUUUUCAGAACGAAUCGAGCGGUAUCUAGACAAGUAAAGCACUGAUUGGUCGUGGACUUGGUUGCACAACUGGCUAAUCCGAAAAGUAUAGUGUCGCCGUUUUGCCUGGUGCAGACCCGUUGCUUGGCUACCAAGCAGCCGAGGAGUUUGUCCCCCGUGGCUGUGGCGAGGUCACCUAUAUCACCACUGAACUUUUUGCUGUUGCAUAACAGAUCAACGCCAUCAACUCAGUCUGCCAGAACAAGUAGUGCACUUGCCAAGAAAGCAAUAUUGACUUCCGAAGUCGUCUUCAUUUUUCUCGACCUAGCUGUUUUGGGUUGUUUAUCGAUUGUGUGACUUCUCUCUGUGGUACGAUUUCAGUUGGAUUAUAUAGAGAGAACAUAGGCGGCUUUUAGAUACUAUGUUUAUCAGACAACUCCAAUGGAGCAAUUAUUCCAGCUCUGUAAAAAAUGUAGCUUUGUUAUUUCUAGCACUAACCACAUGUUUAUGUUGCUUAAUUACUUAUUUAUCCGUAUUGUUUAGGACCUCCUUGUCUUGUUUGAUUACUAUGCUAUGUAAAAAAAACUAUACCCAGUCUUGGAGUUGGUCAGCUUUGACCAGCCGGCCAUGGGCGAUGGCCGUACCUUGUAUUUAGCACUUAGAAGGCAGGAAGGACGUACUAUAGAUAGAGCGAGAGACCAUAGACUUGGGCCUUACGCAUGCAAUAACCAUGAAGAAGGGCCUAAUAGGCCCAGUAUUUUCGCACAAUGUAAAUCAGCGUCUGGCCCGUUCUGUGAAUCAUUGAGAAUUGCAGCAGAGAGGAAAGAUGGAGCAGUUGCGCUCGAAGGUCUUUGUAUUGAAACACUUCUACUGUUUACACUCUGUGACCGUGUGACGUGCUGAGAAUCAGAAGAGAGGAUCGACUUGCUCUGAACUCUGAAGAUGAUAAAAGCGGUGAUGGUGAUGAACACUCAAGGCAAGCCUCGGCUCACGAAAUUCUACGAUUUUAUGGUAAGAAACAGGGGAAGUAAUGUGCUUUGUUCCGUUUCUUGUUUGUUACGAAGAUAGUCUGCCAGCUAGUUGUCUAUAGUUCCGUUUUUCUGACGAUCUCGCUUCCUCAAUCGAAUUCUGGUGCGGACAGCCUGUGGAGAAGCAGCAGGAGAUUAUUCGGACUGUGUUUGGAGGUAAUUUUGGUCCUUCCUCGGCUGUCAGAUCUUGUUAGUGGUGGUUUGGAUCUUUGAUUUAGGAUAUCUGGUGCGUAGUUCUGUGCAGUAGAGCCGAUAAUGUUAGCAAUUUCAUGGAUGCGGAUUCCAUUUUCGGCCCGGUAAUUCCUUGAUUCCGAGUGGUAUUCUUGAACUUCUAAAAUCUUUGCUGCCAGAUUCUUUUUAAAUCUUAUUAGUAACGUUUGUUUUGAUUUCUGCGGCAGGAUAGUCGUCUUGUGUACAAGCACUUCGCAACUCUCUACUUCGUCUUUGUGUUCGAUAGUUCAGAAAACGAGCUUGCCAUGCUUGAUCUCAUCCAAGGUAUGCUCACCAAUCCUGUUUCCGUUCUAUGCUUGGUCAUGAUUUAGGGAUGUUGAAGUGAAGUGCUAUUUGCUGAACCUGAUGCACCCAUGUGCUUUUGGUGUGUUUGAGGUAUAUCGUUUGGACCAAAUGAAACUUUUGUUUAGCAAUUUUAUCUAUUUAUUGUAUUUGAGGUUCUGAUAGUUUUUACUGGCACCCAAAAGGAUCAUGAACAAGGGCAUAUCACUAAUUAUGAACAAAAGUGAUGUUGUUAAUGUCAAGUAAUUUUACUCUGAGUGGGUUGAUAGAGAGGUACUGAGAGAAGGUUAAGUAGUUGAUUGCAAUUUACGGAAAGGGUCGGUCUCUGCAGCUCAAAGCCAAAUGGAGGCAAGCCUUGAUUCCUGGAGUCCAAUGUUUGUGCUAAAGAUGGCCAAUGCUUAAACGUUCUUGAAAAUGUUUUGUCCAUAGCCCUUCUCUAUAUUUGGGCUUCUUUGGAUUCCGAAG